UGGGGAGAUGGCGAAAUUGGCAUACGCGAGGGACGGAAAUCCUUUGUCUGGAAACAGAUGUGCAGGUUCAAUUCCUGCUCUCCCCAAC
rnacentral:tRNA from 1 species